GGCCGGGAACUCAAAGGAGACUGCCAGUGAUAAACUGGAGGAAGGUGGGGAUGACGUCAAGUCAUCAUGGCCCUUACGACCAGGGCUACACACGUGCUACAAUGGCGCAUACAAAGAGAAGCGACCUCGCGAGAGCAAGCGGACCUCAUAAAGUGCGUCGUAGUCCGGAUUGGAGUCUGCAACUCGACUCCAUGAAGUCGGAAUCGCUAGUAAUCGUGGAUCAGAAUGCCACGGUGAAUACGUUCCCGGGCCUUGUACACACCGCCCGUCACACCAUGGGAGUGGGUUGCAAAAGAAGUAGGUAGCUUAACCUUCGGGAGGGCGCUUACCACUUUGUGAUUCAUGACUGGGGUGAAGUCGUAACAAGGUAACCGUAGGGGAACCUGCGGUUGGAUCACCUCCUUA
rnacentral:rRNA from 5 species